rnacentral:rRNA from 1 species
UUGGAGGGCAAGUCUGGUGCCAGCAGCCGCGGUAAUUCCAGCUCCAAUAGCGUAUAUUAAAGUUGUUGCGGUUAAAAAAGCUCGUAGUUGAACCUUGGGCCUGGCUGGCCGGUCCGCCUCACCGCGUGUACUGGUCCGGCCGGGCCUUUCCCUCUGUGGAACCCCAUGCCCUUCACUGGGUGUGGCGGGGAAACAGGACUUUUACUGUGAAAAAAUUAGAGUGCUCCAGGCAGGCCUAUGCUCGAAUACAUUAGCAUGGAAUAAUAGAAUAGGA